CAAGUGGAAUAGGAGGUGCUGCUACUCCAGUUUACACGUGGCUUCACUCUGGCAAUGGAGGAGGCCCAGGACAGAGUGGUCACUCUUUGAAUGGGAAGGGAGUUAAAAUAAUGAGCAACAAACCAGUAGGCCUUGGCAGACAGUUCAUGCUCGGUCUCACGAUGGAGGCGAGGGAGGAGAUGUAGGGACAGUUGUCUGUAAUUGCAGGGGAAGGUACCUGGGGAGGUGGGGGGGGCUUGGUUGAGUGGGGACAAGAAGAGGUGAAUGCAGGUGAGUGGGGCUUUUGAUGAGUGGAGUAAAUGACAAAGAGAUGAAAAGGAGACAAAAGGGGUGUCAGAUGAUAUCAUUGAGUCAUAAUAUGAUACAGCGUGGAAACAGGCCCUUCGGCCCUACAUGUCCCAGCUACACCACUCCCACCUCUGCGUUUGGUCCAUAUCCCUCCAAACCGGUCGUGUCCAUUUCUUAAACUUUGUGAUAGUCCCUGCCCCGACUACCGCCCCUGUCACCUUGUUCCAUACACCCACCACCCUCCCUUUGUGUGAAAAACUUACCCCUUAGAUUUCUAUUAAAGCUUUUCCACUUCCCCUAAAACCUAUUGCCCUUCUCGUUGUAUUCAUAAAGUAACAAGGUACUGGCUGUAGAAGGGUGUGGAAUCGAAAAAUCGCCUGUUCAUUCCCUCCACAGAUGCUGUCUGACCCGCUGAGUUCCCCGGGCACUGUGUGUUUUAAUUUAAGCCUCUGCUCCGCAGUUUUGAAUGGUAAACCCCACGGCUGUGUGUAAGAUACACGUGUUUGCCUGCAAGUUAGCGACGGCUUAGACUCCGCCAGGACCGAAAGAACCUCGGAUCUUCCGCCUCCGACCUCCCCCGGCGUGCAUGUGCCUUUAAAUAAUGUUCUCCUUCUGUCGUAAGAAGAUGCUGCCUGACCCGCUGAGAUCCUCCAGCAUUUUGUGUUUUGAAAGGAAGAGAAGAUGUUCUAAAUGUAGCAAAUCGCAAAAGAAUGGUAAUGAGGAACCAUCAAUACCAGACGUCGGUCAGGAAUGCAAAGGACAUUGCUCGUGUUGGUUAGAACAUGGAAGUCAUUGCCACAGUAAAGGCUGAGACAAAGGAAACACGGUGACCAAUAAAUACACAGUUAUAAUUACUGGCCUGCAGCAGCUUCUUCCCAACGACCAUCAAACUAUUGAACACUGCAAACUCCAAAUAAACUGCGAACUGUGAACCGCCUGCAUUGCACUGGGGACUUUGGGCUUUGUUUUUUUUGCACGGUAUUGGUUUUAUUAUUUGUUGAACUUUUUCUCUCUCUGUUUACAAUACUUUCUAUUGAGUACUGUGUUUAUAAACCUCUUGUGCUGCUGCCACUCGUAAGAAUUUCAUUGUUCCGUUUCGUUACAUAUGGUCACAAGUGAUAGGAGCAGAAUUAGGCCAUUCUGCCCAGCAAGUCAACUCCGACAUAUAAUCAUGGCUGAUCUAUCUCUCCCUCCUAACCCCAUUCUACUGCCUUCUCCCCACAACCUAUGACAGCCAUACUAAUCAAGAAUCUAUCUAAAGGGCCUGUCCCA